CACGUAGGGUGCGAGCGUUUGUCCGGAAUUAUUGGGCGUAAAGAGCUCGUAGGCGGUGUGUCACGUCGAUCGUGAAAACUUACAGCUUAACUGUGAGCGUGCGGUCGAUACGGGCAUCACUGGAGUUCGGCAGGGGGAGACUGGAAUUCCUGGUGUAGCGGUGAAAUGCGCAGAUAUCAGGAGGAACACCGGUGGCGAAGGCGGGUCUCUGGGCCGAUACUGACGCUGAGGAGCGAAAGCGUGGGGAGCGAACAGG
rnacentral:rRNA from 1 species